CAGCCAUGCCGCGUGUGUGAAGAAGGCCUUCGGCUUGUAAAGCACUUUCAGCGAGGAAGAACGCCUAGUGGUUAAUACCCAUUAGGAAAGACAUCACUCGCAGAAGAAGCACCGGCUAACUCCGUGCCAGCAGCCGCGGUAAUACGGAGGGUGCGAGCGUUAAUCGGAAUUACUGGGCGUAAAGCGCGCGUAGGUGGCUUGAUAAGCCGGUUGUGAAAGCCCCGGGCUCAACCUGGGAACGGCAUCCGGAACUGUCAAGCUAGAGUGCAGGAGAGGAAGGUAGAAUUCCCGGUGUAGCGGUGAAAUGCGUAGAGAUCGGGAGGAAUACCAGUGGCGAAGGCGGCCUUCUGGACUGACACUGACACUGAGGUGCGAAAGCGUGGGUAGCAAACAGGAUUAGAUACCCUGGUAGUCCACGCCGUAAACGAUGUCGACCAGCCGUUGGGUGCCUAGCGCACUUUGUGGCGAAGUUAACGCGAUAAGUCGACCGCC
rnacentral:rRNA from 1 species